AGUGGACGCUGGCGGUAGGCCUAACACAUGCAAGUCGAACGGCAGCACAGUAAGAGCUUGCUCUUACGGGUGGCGAGUGGCGGACGGGUGAGGAAUACAUCGGAAUCUACUUUUUCGUGGGGGAUAACGUAGGUAAACUUACGCUAAUACCGCAUACGACCUACGGGUGAAAGCAGGGGAUCUUCGGACCUUGCGCGAUUGAAUGAGCCGAUGUCGGAUUAGCUAGUUGGCGGGGUAAAGGCCCACCAAGGCGACGAUCCGUAGCUGGUCUGAGAGGAUGAUCAGCCACACUGGAACUGAGACACGGUCCAGACUCCUACGGGAGGCAGCAGUGGGGAAUAUUGGACAAUGGGCGCAAGCCUGAUCCAGCCAUACCGCGUGGGUGAAGAAGGCCUUCGGGUUGUAAAGCCCUUUUGUUGGGAAAGAAAAGCAGCAGGUUAAUACCCCGCUGUUCUGACGGUACCCAAAGAAUAAGCACCGGCUAACUUCGUG
rnacentral:rRNA from 1 species